GUCCUUAGAUUACUAGAGUUUCCCUUUCUUUGGAGGCUUUCCUGGUAUACACAUAACUACUUUCUCUCUUCCCCAUUAGCCCAGAUAUACUGGCACCAGGGGUAUGUAUAUGCCCAGCACUCUGGUUCUCACUGUGUCACUGCAGUCUCCCCCAGGUCCACCCACUACUUUACGUUUGUCAUCUAACGCCUUCUAAUGUACAAUAUAUACUAACUGAUGUUCAGUAUGGUCUUGUCUAAUGAUUGGGUGCACGGCCGAAGAGCUAUUCCAUCUUGUUAUCCAGUCUGGAUAAAGGUUAGGUGAUAUCAUUUAAGAAGUUCAGGCUACUCUGUAACUAGCCAUAAAAUACCAUAUUGAUGAGAUAGUUCCUGGAGAAAUUGACAUAUUGUAGGGGGAUGUCUCUG